CCUACUCAAACACCCGAGGUUGGCAGCUUUGGGUUUCCUUGUGUUUAACUCAGCUCCCUCUUGCUGCAAUUUAAGACCCCUCUCCUCUGACUUAUUUCUUGUUCAAGAUGGAAAAGGGAUCCUUCCCUCCUCCCCAGAAACUCUUGGUCUAAAAGGACGGAAACAGCAGUGAAGACCCCGUAACCAUCUCCUCUCCAGGCAAAGCUGGCUGGUAAAUGAAGGUCGCCUGCCUCGAGAUCCUUCCCUGACCCUGUCUCUCCGGGCAAGGCACAAGGCACGAGUCAAAAAUUUUCAGGAGAUGAAGGGGAGAAUGUGGACCACUGAGGCAGCGUCUCUCUCAAGUCUCUCUGGAGUUUGCUUUCAUUCUUUUGGGCCAGCAGGGUCAGGAUGCCUAGACCAUUCAAUGGCAGCGCAGACUGGCUCAGCACCCUGGACCGAACUGGGCAACUGAGAGAAAGAUGCAGGACCCAGCAGAGCGGCAUCAGCAGGGACCUCAAAUAAGAUUUCUGUUUGCUGGAGAAUGCUGAGAGGGCAGGCUAACGUGAAAGCCUCUCUAGACAUUGCCUGGCCCCAAACAGCAUUGAUGUCCUGCCUGAUUGGUUACUUCUUGGAAGAAGGAAAUUGAAAACAUCAAGCCAGCAGAACCUCCUGCUUGAUUUUUGCUAUAUUAAAUUUUAAGAUCCCACCUUAUGGGCCAGGGCCACUGUGGAGCCCUUUGAUUUUUUUUCCUUGCCAGAAAUGAAGUCAGUCUAAUUCA